UAUGCUAUUUUUAAUGAUGCUAUAAUGAAGAUUGCUUUGUGCAUUAAUCCUUCUGUACAUUUGAUUGUAUGCUUGCAAUAAAUUCCUAAAAACAAUAUUUAUGGAAGUAUGAUUCUCUGUCAGGCGUUUUAUACCUAUUAUCAGAUUAAAGCUAUUAUAACUCUUAAAUUCAUAUUUAUACUGUAAUUUGUCAACUUUGUCUUGGUUUUAAGAGUAUGAAGAUGGUGAUCUGUCAUCAUGGAUCAACAGGGAAAGGUUUCAGAAUUACCUUGCUAUGGAUGGCUUCCUCUUGUAUGAACUUGGAGACACAGGAAAGCUUGUGGCUCUUGCAGUUAUUGAUGAGAAAAAUACAUCAGUUGAACAUACCAGAUUGAAGUCAAUUAUUCAGGAAGUUGCAAGAGAUUACAGAGACCUCUUCCAUAGGGAUUUUCAGUUUGGCCACAUGGAUGGAAAUGACUACAUAAAUACCUUGCUGAUGGA
rnacentral:lncRNA from 10 species